rnacentral:rRNA from 1 species
AUUGAACGCUGGCGGCAGGCCUAAUACAUGCAAGUCGAGCGGAAACGAUGGGAGCUUGCUCCCAGGCGUCGAGCGGCGGACGGGUGAGUAACGCGUAGGAAUCUGCCCAGUAGUGGGGGAUAGCCCGGGGAAACUCGGAUUAAUACCGCAUACGCCCUACGGGGAAAGCAGGGGAUCUUCGGACCUUGCGCUAUUGGAUGAGCCUGCGUUGGAUUAGCUAGUUGGUGGGGUAAAGGCCUACCAAGGCGACGAUCCAUAGCUGGUCUGAGAGGAUGAUCAGCCACACUGGGACUGAGACACGGCCCAGACUCCUACGGAGGCAGCAGUAGGGAAUAUUGGACAAUGGGGGCAACCCUGAUCCAGCCAUGCCGCGUGUGUGAAGAAGGCUUUCGGGUUGUAAAGCACUUUCAGUGAGGAAGAAAUGGCAGCGGUUAAUACCCGGGUCUAUGACAUUACUCACAGAAGAAGGACCGCUAAC